UCAUCUUCAUUUGAUUUUGUAUCAUGUUCUUGAGGACUACUCUCAUAUGUGUCCCUUUGCGAGAUAUUUGAAUUAAUUUCAGGUUCUUGUUGCUUUAGCCUUUUCGAACUCCUCAAACUCUUCGAACUCUUCGAACUCUUCGAACUCUUGCUUUUCUCAAACUCUUCCAUACUGUAAUAUACUAUAGGAUUGGUGUACAGUAAGAUCACUAAGCAAUAGAGCAUUUAUUUAUUUGACAAGUAUAUUAGAUAGUUAUUUACCUACGGUGCUGAUCGGAAGCGAUUGCUGUGCAGAGAAAAGAAGAAAGGAAGAAGAUGAUAUUU
rnacentral:lncRNA from 1 species